rnacentral:rRNA from 1 species
GCAGCGGGGGAUGUAGCAAUACAUUCUGCCGGCGACCGGUUCAAGGGUGCGUAACGCGUGAGCAACAUGCCCGUCUCAGGGGGAUAACCGGUGGAAACGCCGCCUAAUACCCCAUGGCGAUAUAUUGAGGCAUCUUGAUACAUCUAAAGAUCCGUCGGAUGGGGAUAGGCUCGCGUGACAUUAGCUAGUCGGCGGGGUAACGGCCCACCGAGGCGACGAUGUCUAGGGGUUCUGAGAGGAAGGUCCCCCACACUGGUACUGAGACACGAACCACAUUUAAACGGGAGGUAGCAGUGAGGAAUAUUGGUCAAUGGGCUUACGCCUGAACCAGCCAAGUCGCGUGAGGGAAGACUGCCCUAUGGGUUGUAAACCUCUUUUGUCAGGGAGCAACGCCGGCUACGUGUAGCCGGACUGAGAGUACCUGAAGAAAA